rnacentral:rRNA from 1 species
CACGUAGGGUGCGAGCGUUGUCCGGAAUUAUUGGGCGUAAAGAGCUCGUAGGCGGUGUGUCGCGUCGGCCGUGAAAACCUGCAGCUUAACUGUGGGCUUGCGGUCGAUACGGGCAUCACUGGAGUUCGGCAGGGGAGACUGGAAUUCCUGGUGUAGCGGUGAAAUGCGCAGAUAUCAGGAAGAACAUCAGUGGCGAAGGCGGCUCACUGGACGACUGUUGACGC